rnacentral:rRNA from 1 species
AUUGAACGCUGGCGGCAGGCCUAACACAUGCAAGUCGAACGAGUGGCGGACGGGUGCGUAAUGUCUGGGAAACUGACUGCUGGAGGGGGAUAACUACUGGAAACGGUAGCUAAUACCGCAUACCAUCAGAUGGGCACAGAUGGGAUUAGCUUGUUGGUGGGGUAACGGCUCAACAAGGCGACGAGCCCUAGCUGGUCUGAGAGGAUGACCAGCCACACGGGAACUGAGACACGGGCCAGACUCCUACGCGAGGCAGCAGUGGGGAAUAGUGCACAAUGGGCGCAAGCCUGAUGCAGCCAUGCCGCGUGUAUGAAGAAGGCCUUCGGGUUGUAAAGUACUUUCAGCGGGGAGGCGUUACCCGCAGAAGAAGCACCGGCUAACUUUGUGCCAGCAGCCGCGGUAAUAC